CCUACGGGAGGCAGCAGUGAGGAAUAUUGGUCAAUGGACGAGAGUCUGAACCAGCCAAGUAGCGUGAAGGAUGACUGCCCUAUGGGUUGUAAACUUCUUUUAUAUGGGAAUAAAACAGGGUAUGCAUACCCUCUUGUAUGUACCAUAUGAAUAAGGAUCGGCUAACUCCGUGCCAGCAGCCGCGGUAAUACGGAGGAUCCGAGCGUUAUCCGGAUUUAUUGGGUUUAAAGGGUGCGUAGGUGGAUUGUUAAGUCAGUUGUGAAAGUUUGAGGCUCAACCGUAAAAUUGCAGUUGAAACUGGCCGUCUUGAGAACAGUAGAGGUAGGCGGAAUGCGUGGUGUAGCGGUGAAAUGCUUAGAUAUCACGAAGAACUCCGAUUGCGAAGGCAGCUUACUGGACUGCUACUGACACUGAUGCUCGAAAGUGUGGGUAUCAAACAGGAUUAGAUACCCCUGUAGUC
rnacentral:rRNA from 1 species